UACACCGGAAGAGAGGGACAAGUGGCCAUUGAGGAACAACACUUAGUCAUUCUGUCUCUACAAGUCUCGCUCUCUCUAUUUCCCUUAAUGGCUAUAUAUGGGAAAUGGUUUGGGGAGGUUUAGGCCUUUUAUCGGUCUAAAACCUCUUUAUCAGUCUUAAGCUUCCUCGUAAGCUGGGUAUAUGGACAUGCCUCUCAUAUCUGUGAGAGCCAUUCAACAUCACGUGAUAAGAUUACAGCACCGUGUUGCCUCUCAACACUUUCUAUUUGGAUUAUUUCUAACUCUUGUUUUACAGCAAGCUUAUCUUCCCUCUCUUACAAUAUACUCAUGGAAAACUCAAUCUCAACAACUUUCUCUCUCUAGAAAGGAAUAGAACAGGGCUUUUGUGCAGGGGAGAAGAGGAUAACUGCAAGUAGUUGUUCAUGCCUACUCACUUAUUUGUCCAGAGGUAAAUACUUUCUAUUAUGGAUUAGAGGUUUAACAUGAUACUAAGGUCGAAGUGUAAAAUUGUUUUUUCUCCCUUUCUAUAAAUUUUCAUCCACAUUGUAGAAUCCACAAUAAACUUGCUUGCAUGAUCUUUAUGAUGUUCAUUUUUUAUGUUUUAAGAGCCUGGGCUUAAUUGGUUAGCGCUUGACGAUUUGCAAUGCUAUGUCCUAAGCUCAAUUCCUAUCAAAGGUAGAGGCCCUCUCCCCACUGUCUCACUCAAAAAAAGAAGAAGUAUAUAAGUAUCAUAUAUAAUACGUCGAUGGAAAUUUGUUUGGGUGCAUCUAGGAACUUCAGAUAUGCAAUGAUGGAUAGACAUGGAAAAAUAAACCAUUUAAUUGAUAUGCACAAAGAGGCAAUGAAAUGUUGAUCAUGACCAAUAAAAACAUUAGGAACUGCGAAUUGUCCAGUAACCAUUUCCAACACUUAAUAGGCGUGAUUUGAUUAAUACUUGACUAUGAGCUUGCUUGCUUGCUAGGACAGUGCAAAAGAGCUGCAAGUUUAAGGAGUUUCUUGGUUUUUAAAUACAAUGGAGUUUAUGCCAAAAUACUUUGUGCAUAAACAAGAAUACAUGAACACUUGUCCACUCAAUAUAUGGCCUUAUUGGUUUAUUAAGCAUGAGCGACACACAAGGGGCUAACACUCGGUCAUCUGUUUUCCCCGCCCCAUGGAAGUCUAGGAUGAAUCUAGCUCAUCCACGUCUGAUAAGAGAUUAUCAUCUAGGACAAAGAGGCAAUGCUCCCGGACUCCGACAUCUCAACAUUGCAGAACAAGGCAACCAACCCCCAUUGAGGCGAUGGUUGUAGCUAUGACAAAGAUGGCCGAGAGCAUGAAGGCGUUAGCGAGUGGCAGCACACCAAACAACAAUACUUCAGUCGUGGAAGAUGCUUCCAAGGCCAGGAAGGAUUGCAUUACGCUUGUUGAAGCUAUGUAGAAAGAAGGGGAAAUUGAUGAUGAAGUUCUCUUGAAGGCAACUAUGAUCUUUCAGGAUGCCAUAAAGGCGGAGAUAGUAUUAAACCUGACAGAGCGAAGGCAUCAAAAGGCUUUCUUGGAUAUUGAGAUGCAAUGCCUACAAUAGAUCUUGGAUUGUUUAUGUAUUACUUUUUAGAACUGUUAUUUAUGUGGUCAAUGACCUUUAUUUUGUAUUUUGGUUAUUGUAAUUUUCUUUCAUGGUA